rnacentral:rRNA from 1 species
GAAUUUUGGACAAUGGGCGCAAGCCUGAUCCAGCCAUGCCGCGUGAGUGAAGAAGGCCUUCGGGUUGUAAAGCUCUUUCGGCGGGGACGAAACGGUCCGUGCCAACACCACGGAACCAAUACGGUCCUCCCAGCAGAAGCACCCGCUAACUACGUCCCAGCAGCCGCGGUAAUACCUAGGGUGCGGGCGUUAAUCGGAAUUACUGGGCGUAAAGCGUGCGCAGGCGGCUCCUUAAGUCAGAUGUGAAAUCCCCGGGCUUAACCUGGGAACUGCGUUUGAAACUGAGGGGCUUGAGUGUGGAAGAGGGGGGUGGAAUUCCAGGUGUAGCAGUGAAAUGCGUAGAGAUCUGGAGGAACACCGAUGGCGAAGGCAGCCCCCUGGGCUAACACUGACGCUCAUGCACGAAAGCGUGGGGAGCAAACAGG